rnacentral:misc_RNA from 1 species
GGCGCAAGGUGACUGAAAGGUCUUCAAACACUGAGUUUGCCUUCCCUACCAUAUACACUCUUUCCUCACUGGGAGCCAACUGCAAAACAACAGGAGUUUCCUCAGAAAAUAAGGAGUGAAUGGAAUUUGCAACACUGUCAAGACUAAAAGGAACUGCAUUCUCCAAAGGGUACGAAAUGACACUGCCUGGGGGUAGAGCCAGUUUG